GCGGUGGAGCAUGUGGUUAAUUCGUAAGCAACGCGAAGAACCUUACCAGGUCUUGACAUCCGAUGCUAUUUCUAGAGAUAGAAAGUUACUUCGGUACAUCGGUGACAGGUGGUGCAUGGUUGUCGUCAGCUCGUGUCGUGAGAUGUUGGGUUAAGUCCCGCAACGAGCGCAACCCCUAUUGUUAGUUGCCAUCAUUCAGUUGGGCACUCUAGCGAGACUGCCGGUAAUAAACCGGAGGAAGUGGGGAUGACGUCAAAUCAUCAUGCCCCUUAUGACCCGGGCUACACACGUGCUACAAUGGUUGGUACAACGAGUUGCGAGUCGGUGACGGCGAGCUAAUCUCUUAAAGCCAAUCUCAGUUCGGAUUGUAGGCUGCAACUCGCCUACAUGAAGUCGGAAUCGCUAGUAAUCGCGGAUCAGCACGCCGCGGUGAAUACGUUCCCGGGCCUU
rnacentral:rRNA from 1 species